rnacentral:tRNA from 1 species
GGCAGGGUGGCCUAGAGGACAAGGCACUGGGCUGAGACCCACGAGACCUGGGUUCUCUUCUUGGCUCUGCCA